rnacentral:rRNA from 1 species
AUUGAACGCUGGCGGCAUGCCUUACACAUGCAAGUCGAACGGUAACAGGUCUUCGGAUGCUGACGAGUGGCGAACGGGUGAGUAAUACAUCGGAACGUGCCUAGUAGUGGGGGAUAACUACUCGAAAGAGUGGCUAAUACCGCAUGCGAUCUACGGAUGAAAGCAGGGGAUCGCAAGACCUUGUGCUACUAGAGCGGCCGAUGGCAGAUUAGGUAGUUGGUGGGAUAAAAGCUUACCAAGCCGACGAUCUGUAGCUGGUCUGAGAGGACGAUCAGCCACACUGGGACUGAGACACGGCCCAGACUCCUACGGGAGGCAGCAGUGGGGAAUUUUGGACAAUGGGCGAAAGCCUGAUCCAGCAAUGCCGCGUGCAGGAUGAAGGCCUUCGGGUUGUAAACUGCUUUUGUACGGAACGAAAAGACCUGGGUUAAUACCCUGGGGUCAUGACGGUACCGUAAGAAUAAGCACCGGCUAACUACGUACCAGCCGCCGCCGUAA